UGGGGAAUAUUGCACAAUGGGCGCAAGCCUGAUGCAGCAACGCCGCGUGAACGAUGAAGGUCUUCGGAUCGUAAAGUUCUGUUGCAGGGGAAGAUAAUGACGGUACCCUGUGAGGAAGCCCCGGCUAACUACGUGCCAGCAGCCGCGGUAAUACGUAGGUGGCAAGCGUUGUCCGGAAUUAUUGGGCGUAAAGCGCGCGCAGGUGGUUUAGAAAGUCUGAUGUGAAAGCCCACGGCUCAACCGUGGAGGGUCAUUGGAAACUAAUAAACUUGAGUGCAGGAGAGAAAAGUGGAAUUCCUAGUGUAGCGGUGAAAUGCGUAGAGAUUAGGAGGAACACCGGUGGCGAAAGCGGCUUUUUGGCCUGAAACUGACACUGAGGCGCGAAAGCGUGGGGAGCAAACAGG
rnacentral:rRNA from 1 species